AAAAAAAACUUAGCCGUGGUGGUUGGUUAGCUUAGCCGCGGUUGGAUACUUAGCCGUGGUGGUUGGAUACUUAGCCGUGGUGGUUGGAUACUUAGCCGUGGUGGUUGGUUA